CUAUACAUGACUCUGCGCAUAUCAAUAAGCGGAGGAAAAGAAACUAACAAGGAUUCCCCUAGUAACGGCGAGUGAAGCGGGAAGGAGCUCAAAUUUGAAAUCUUAAAGGGUUUCCCUUUACGAAUUGUAGUUUAAAGAAGUGUUUUCUGUUGAGGUUUUGGUAAAAGUUCUUUGGAAUAGGACAUCAUAGAGGGUGAGAAUCCCGUAUUUGACCUUUACUUUCAACUUUGUGAUACACUUUCAAAGAGUCGGAUUGUUUGGGAAUGCAGUCCAAAAUGGGUGGUAAAUUUCAUCUAAAGCUAAAUAUUGGCGAGAGACCGAUAGCGAACAAGUACCGUGAGGGAAAGAUGAAAAGAACUUUGAAAAGAGAGUUAGACAGUACGUGAAAUUGUCAAAAGGGAAGCGUUUGACACCAGUGUUGUUUUUCUGAAAAUCAAUUAAAGAACUGUUUAUGCUAAGUUGUUUAGACUUUAUCAGCUAACUGUUUAGUUUUGAGCUUUUCUUUAAUGCACUCUUCAGUUAACAAGUCAACAUCAGUUUCUUUUGCUGUAAAAAAGCUUGAGGAAGGUGGCUUGAGAUUCGUCUUAAGUGUUUAUAGCCUCUUGCCUAUGCAGUCGGAGAGAUUGAGGUCUGCAGCGUAGAUCCUUCGGGGCUAAAUGCAUUUGUGCUAAGUUAUAGCAUUUUAUAGACAACUUGUUGACUAUGAUUUGUCUUGUAGCUUACUCGCUUAUGUUAUUUUACCUACGCUUAGGAUGUUGACAGCAGUAUAGACUGU
rnacentral:rRNA from 1 species